rnacentral:pre_miRNA from 1 species
CAAACCCAAUCUUCUUCCGAGCAGAGAAUCGCCCCUAGUGACCCACCACAGUAGUGUGAGGUGACUAGAGCCAAUUCUCUUCUUGGUUGCAAGGUGCCCUUUG